rnacentral:lncRNA from 1 species
UGGAUAUACGUUUAUUUACGGAAAAUGUUAAGGUUGUAUUCCCCAUUCUCGAUCCGGAUAUGGAUAUCCAGGAAACUAACUUCCACCUCACUUUCUUGUUGCUAAUCUAAUGCGAAACGACAGGGAUGGGAGAGCUGCCGGCGCGGGACCGGGCAUGUAUGGGAUGCCGUUGACCGACAGCACAUUUGGUCGGGGAUGUAAAUGCAUCGGGUGCACCUCGGGGUCCUUGGAUGGACGUCUGGGUGAGCAUGGGAGGGAUGUUGAGCGGAAGGCAUCAACAACGACGCUGGCGCGGGGGGCCUUGUCUUCGGAUAUCACC